UUUAUUUGGGGCGGUAAAGCGCGCGCAGGCGGUCCUUUAAGUCUGAUGUGAAAGCCCACGGCUCAACCGUGGAAGGUCAUUGGAAACUGGGGGACUUGAGUGCAGAAGAGGAAAGUGGAAUUCCAAGUGUAGCGGUGAAAUGCGUAGAGAUUUGGAGGAACACCAGUGGCGAAGGCGACUUUCUGGUCUGUAACUGACGCUGAGGCGCGAAAGCGUGGAGAGCAAACAGGAUUAGAUACCCUGGUAGUCCACGCCGUAAACGAUGAGUGCUAAGUGUUAGGGGGUUUCCGCCCCUUAGUGCUGCAGCUAACGCAUUAAGCACUCCGCCUGGGGAGUACGGUCGCAAGACUGAAACUCAAAGGAAUUGACGGGGGCCCGCACAAGCGGUGGAGCAUGUGGUUUAAUUCGAAGCAACGCGAAGAACCUUACCAGGUCUUGACAUCCCGCUGACCGGUCUAGAGAUAGAUUUUUCCCUUCGGGGACAGCGGUGACAGGUGGUGCAUGGUUGUCGUCAGCUCGUGUCGUGAGAUGUUGGGUUAAGUCCCGCAACGAGCGCAACCCUUGAUCUUAGUUGCCAGCAUUCAGUUGGGCACUCUAAGGUGACUGCCGGUGAUAAACCGGAGGAAGGUGGGGAUGACGUCAAAUCAUCAUGCCCCUUAUGACCUGGGCUACACACGUGCUACAAUGGACGGUACAGAGGGUCGCAACCCCGCGAGGGUGAGCUAAUCCCAUAAAACCGUUCUCAGUUCGGAUUGUAGGCUGCAACUCGCCUACAUGAAGCCGGAAUCGCUAGUAAUCGUGGAUCAGCAUGCCACGGUGAAUACGUUCCCGGGCCUUGUACACACCGCCCGUCACACCACGAGAGUUUGUAACACCCGAAGUCGGUGGGGUAACCCUUACGGGAGCCAGCCGCCGAAGGUGGGACAGAUGAUGGGGUGAAGUCGAACAAGUAGCCGAUCGGU
rnacentral:rRNA from 1 species